UUUUUGCUGGGCAUCAGGUUAGGUUCUGAAGACAUGAGAAUUCACAAGAUACCAAUCUUUGUCCUCAAAAGAACUUACAGUCUAAACACAGAUCCUAAUAAGCUACCUGACAGCGUUCUGAAUACUAUGAGAACAAAAGACUACUUUGAGGAAUAUGGGUAUGGAUAUUCUGAAGAAAGCUGAAGGACUUUGCACUUGUCAUCUGCCCUUUGUUGUUCACUUUCCACAUUUGUGAAAUGAAGAUAUUGGACUCAAUUCUCUUUGAAAGCCCUUGUCUUACUGUAAACUGCAAUCCUGUGACUACUUUGUACAUAAUACAUUCUGGAGGGGGAUGGGGGAAUACUUUUGGCCCUACCACGUCAAUAAACUGAAAGCAAUAAGUA